CCAGGUGAUUCCAUACUCCUGUUCCCAGGUGAUUCCAUGUUCCUGUUCCCAGGUGAUUCCACGCUCCCGUUCCCAGGUGAUGUUCCCAGGUGAUUCCAUGCUCCUGUUCCAGGUGAUUCCAUGUUCCUGCCCCAGGUGAUUUCCCG